AGAGAUUAAGAAAAUCCCUUUAACAAACCUUUAAUUAGGGGCCAUGGAUGCUCUGAGAGGAUACCAGAGGCCUCAUGGCUUGCCAUUUUUUCCUCCUCUCUCUUUCUCUGUCUAGAGAGUUUUCCUGGCUCAGAAGUUUUGACUAGUGAACAAAGACAAGUCCAGCAAACUCAGAUUAGUAUACAUACAUGGAGAAUUUAUUAAAUUGGCAGACGACAAGUAGCUGAAAAGGACAAUAAUAUCUACCUACAGAAUCAGAAUUCAUGUAUUCUCAACAGGCAAGUAAAAAGCAGGGAGGGGUUGCUAGCUAAGAUCCUGGUA
rnacentral:lncRNA from 1 species